AUGGAGUGGUACCAGAUAUCUUGGGAAUCUGGCAUAUCACAGGGAAUCUAUCUUCCAAGGGCACCUACACAUCAAAAGCCCUAGAAGAAAAAGAAACAUUUCUUGACAUUAAAUCAAGUUUUCAUUCUGGAGAAAGCUCUCUAAGAAGAAAAAGGAGCAGAAUGGAGAAGCUGGCUUAGUACCCCAAAUCCCCUCUAUGCAAUUCUCACCUGAAUUUGCAAGGAAAUGGACUGAAUCCAUGCCACAAAUUUAGUG